CCCCUCUCAGGGUCACACCUGGAGAGUUUCCAGUACUUUACCAGUCUCGGACAUGGGAGGGAGAGUCAAGCAGAGGCCCGUCCAUUCCAUUCCUAGCUUGGGCAGUGGCUAGCGAGUGGAAGGCAAUCUGCUGAAAGC
rfam:Ornithorhynchus anatinus chromosome 1, whole genome shotgun sequence.